GACAGAGGGGGCAAGCGUUGCUCGGAAUCACUGGGCGUAAAGGGCGCGUAGGCGGGUCCGCAAGUCGAUCGUGAAAUCCUUCGGCUCAACUGAAGGGGGUCGGUCGAUACUGCGGGUCUUGAGGGAUGCAGAGGAGACUGGAAUUCCCGGUGUAGCGGUGAAAUGUGUAGAGAUCGGAGGAACACCGGUGGCGAAGGCGG
rnacentral:rRNA from 1 species